rnacentral:rRNA from 1 species
GACGAACGCUGGCGGCGUGCUUAACACAUGCAAGUCGAACGGAAAGGCCCUGCUUUUGUGGGGUGCUCGAGUGGCGAACGGGUGAGUAACACGUGAGUAACCUGCCCUUGACUUUGGGAUAACUUCAGGAAACUGGGGCUAAUACCGGAUAGGAGCUCCUGCUGCAUGGUGGGGGUUGGAAAGUUUCGGCGGUUGGGGAUGGACUCGCGGCUUAUCAGCUUGUUGGUGGGGUAGUGGCUUACCAAGGCUUUGACGGGUAGCCGGCCUGAGAGGGUGACCGGCGCCAUUGGGGGUCAGAGACGGGGCAGAGACUUAUGGGGGGGGCAGCGGGGGAAUAUAUUGCACAGGGCGGGAGAGUGAGGCACCAAAGCGCCGCGUGGGAGAUGGGGCUUCUGGUGGUAUAACCCGUUCGCCCGUGAGGCGAAGGGAGAGUGGCGGUAGGGGGAAGAAAAGCCCGGGAGAUAUAC